rnacentral:rRNA from 1 species
AUUGGGCGUAAAGGGUGCGUAGGCGGUAUGUUAAGUUAGUUGUCAAAUCCCUCGGCUUAACCGAGGAACGGCAGCUAAUACUGGCGUACUUGAGGAUGGAAGAGAGAAGUGGAAUUCUCGGAGUAGCGGUAAAAUGCGUAGAUCUCGAGAGGAACACCGAUGGCGAAGGCAGCUUCUUGGUCCAUUCCUGACGCUGAGUCACGAAAGCGUGGGGAGCAAACAGGAUUAGAUACCCUGGUAGUCCACGCUGUAAACGAUGAUCACUAGACGUUGGCCUCGCUUUGCGGGGUCGGUGUCGUAGCUAACGCGAUAAGUGAUCCGCCUGGGGAGUACGGUCGCAAGAUUAAAACUCAGAGAAAUUGACGGGGGUCCGCACAAGCGGUGGAACAUGUGGUUUAAUUCGAUACUACGCGAGAUACCUUACCUGGGCUUGACAUGUACUUGACCGCCGUAGAAAUAUGGUUUUUCUUACGUAAGUAAGAACGGGGUACACAGGUGCUGCAUGGCUGUCGUCAGCUCGUGUAGUGAGAUGUUGGGUUAAGUCCUUCAACGAGCGCAACCCUUGCCAUCAGUUGCUACUUCUUCGGAAGGCACUCUGGUGGGACUGCCUAGGAAANUAGGAGGAAGGUGGGGAUGACGUCAAGUCCGCAUGGCCCUUAUGUCCAGGGCGACACACGUGUUACAAUGGGCAGUACAAAGCGUUGCAAACCUGCGAAGGUGAGCUAAUCGCAUAAAGCUGCUCUAAGUUCGGAUUGGGGUCUGCAAUUCGAGCCCCAUGAAGCUGAAAUCGCUAG